rnacentral:rRNA from 1 species
CUACGAAGGGGGCUAGCGUUGUUCGGAAUCACUGGGCGUAAAGCGCACGUAGGUGGACUAAUUAGUUGAGGGUGAAAUCACGGGGCUUAACCUCGGAACUGCCUUCAAUACUGUUAGUCUUGAGUCCGAGAGAGGUGAGUGGAAUUCCUAGUGUAGAGGUGAAAUUCGUAGAUAUUAGGAAGAACACCAGUGGCGAAGGCGGCUCACUGGCUCGGUACUGACGCUGAGGUGCGAAAGCGUGGGGAGCAAACAGGAUUAGAAACCCUAGUAGUCC